AACCACCCCUCCUUAUAUCCAAAGUCUUUGACAGUCUCACUGAGACUGGAUUCCCAAAGAGACAUGCUAUAUAGCUGCCCAUGAUUGCCUGACAUUAGUGUGCAAAACCUUGUGUCCCGAUGCAACAGACACCUCCCUUGCUAACCCCCCUUCCUCCCCGUCCGUCCCUAAUCGCUGGCAACUGGGCUGGACGUGGGGACAGCUCCAUCGCAUUAAAUGAGGAUCACUCUGGCAGUGAAGAUGAAUGGUCUCAUCAGGGAGAGAUGUUUCAUGCCUGAGCAUGACAACCUGUUUCCACCCAGGUAAGCAUCAUCCCUAACAGCCCUGUCACUAUUACAACCGCUUGAGGAGUGUUACUGCUGUUACUGCUGACUGUCUCUGUGGGUCUGUCUGUCUGUUUGUCUGUCAGUUACCCUUAUAGUGAGGACUACACUAAACCAACCCAGUAAAUGAACAAUCGCUGCCCCUCCUGGUGUGACCGCAUCCUCAUAUCUUACACUGCCCAAUACAUUAUCCACAGAAGGGAUGAGGGAGAGAUCAGUGUGGUUUACAACACACUGGGCCCCAAUGACUACAUGAGACCACAAGGUAACGUAGCAUGUCUUGUCUUGAAAAUGGCCCUAGAUAAUAGUGGUUUAUGCUUGGAUUUAAGCGCUAUUUUUUCAGACUUCUUAAAUAUUCCAAAUGCAUUGACACAGUAAUUAUUUUCUCUUCACGUAACAGAGGUACCCGUGACUGAGUUGUAUCCCCAGGCCGCUCUUUGCACCAAUAAUUAUACAUAGGUAUUAAAAAAUGGUACUUGGAAUAAAUCAAGUAGGCUUACCAAUUUCCCAACGACAGUUGUCUACUUGCUCAAUGGCCAAGAUGCAUUAAGAUGUGGCUUGCAUGAUAAACGUCACUCAGCUCUAUUGUGUUUGUCAUAACACCCCCACACCUGUACCACAGUGCAAUGCAGACCAGUGACAAUUCAAUAAGACUACAACAAGGCGCAUUGCGCUGUGGUACAGGUGUGGAGGUGUUAUGGCAGACACAGUCAAACCGAAUGACGUGGAAUCAUGCAAGCCACACCUUUAUUGCACC